UACGUAGGGGCCGAGCGUUGUCCGGAGUUAUUGGGCGUAAAGCGCGCGCAGGCGGCCUCGCGCGCCCGACGUGAAAGCCCCCGGCUUAACCGGGGAGGGUCGUUGGGGACGGCGGGGCUUGAGGGCGGGAGAGGUCGGUGGAAUUCCCGGUGUAGUGGUGAAAUGCGUAGAGAUCGGGAGGAACACCUGUGGCGAAGGCGGCCGACUGGGCCGACCCUGACGCUGAGGCGCGAAA
rnacentral:rRNA from 1 species